GAUGAACGCUGGCGGCGUGCUUAACACUUGCAAGUCGAACGAAGCACUUUAUUUGAUUUCCUUCGGGACUGAUUAUUUUGUGACUGAGUGGCGGACGGGUGAGUAACGCGUGGGUAACCUGCCUUGUACAGGGGGAUAACAGUUGGAAACGGCUGCUAAUACCGCAUAAGCGCACAGCAUCGCAUGAUGCAGUGUGAAAAACUCCGGUGGUAUAAGAUGGACCCGCGUUGGAUUAGCUAGUUGGUGAGGUAACGGCCCACCAAGGCGACGAUCCAUAGCCGACCUGAGAGGGUGACCGGCCACAUUGGGACUGAGACACGGCCCAAACUCCUACGGGAGGCAGCAGUGGGGAAUAUUGCACAAUGGGCGAAAGCCUGAUGCAGCGACGCCGCGUGAGCGAAGAAGUAUUUCGGUAUGUAAAGCUCUAUCAGCAGGGAAGAUAAUGACGGUACCUGACUAAGAAGCACCGGCUAAAUACGUG
rnacentral:rRNA from 1 species